UCUCCGUUGGUGAACCAGCGGAGGGAUCAUUACCGAGUUAUUACUCCAAACCCUUUGUGAACCUUACCUUUUUGUUGCUCGGCGCACCGCGGGCCGCGGCUUCGGCCCGUCCCGCAGCGCGCCAGAGGACCCAACUCUUCAAUUUAUAGCGUACCUUCUGAUUUACAAAACAAACAAGUUAAAACUUUCAACAACGGAUCUCUUGGUUCUG
rnacentral:misc_RNA from 1 species